AGGCGAAAAGAACCCCGGCGAGGGGAGUGAAAAAGAACCUGAAACCGUGUACGUACAAGCAGUGGGAGCCCCACCACCAAAGCAUUCUCUGGUGUUGAAGGCCCUGCAAAGCAGCAUCGCGGUGGCGGAGCGUCGUUUGCGACGCCCAACACACAAAACAAGCGGUGAAUGCUUUGGGGUGGGGUGACUGCGUACCUUUUGUAUAAUGGGUCAGCGACUUAUAUUCUGUAGCAAGGUUAACCGAAUAGGGGAGCCGGAGGGAAACCGAGUCUUAAUUGGGCGUUAAGUUGCAGGGUAUAGACCCGAAACCCGGUGAUCUAG
rnacentral:rRNA from 2 species